UACGGAGGGGGCUAGCGUUGUUCGGAAUUACUGGGCGUAAAGGGUGCGUAGGCGGCUUUUUAAGUUUGGUGUGAAAUCUCCCGGCUCAACUGGGAGGGUGCGCCGAAUACUGAGAAGCUAGAGUGUGGGAGAGGAAAGUGGAAUUCCUGGUGUAGCGGUGAAAUGCGUAGAUAUCAGGAGGAACACCGGUGGUGUAAACGGCUUUCUGGACCAUAACUGACGCUGAGGCACGAAAGCGUGGGUAGCAAACAGG
rnacentral:rRNA from 1 species